rnacentral:rRNA from 1 species
AUUGAACGCUGGCUUUAUGCUUUACACAUGCAAGUCGAACGGUAACAGGGAGCUUGCUCCGCUGACAAGUGGCGAACGGGUGAGUAAUAUAUCGGAACGUACCCAAGAGUGGGGGAUAACGUAGCGAAAGUUACGCUAAUACCGCAUACGAUCUAUGGAUGAAAGCAGGGGACCUUCGGGCCUUGUGCUCCUGGAGCGGCCGAUAUCUGAUUAGCUAGUUGGUGAGGUAAAGGCUCACCAAGGCGACGAUCAGUAGCUGGUCUGAGAGGACGACCAGCCACACUGGAACUGAGACACGGUCCAGACUCCUACGGGAGGCAGCAGUGGGGAAUUUUGGACAAUGGGCGCAAGCCUGAUCCAGCAAUGCCGCGUGAGUGAAGAAGGCCUUCGGGUUGUAAAGCUCUUUUGUCAGGGAAGAAACGGCUGUGGCUAAUAUCCACGGCUAAUGACGGUACCUGAAGAAUAAGCACCGGCUAACUACGUGCCAGCAGCCGCGGUAAUACGUAGGGUGCAAGCGUUAAUCGGAAUUACUGGGCGUAAAGCGUACGCAGGCGGUUUUGUAAGUCUGUCGUGAAAUCCCCGGGCUCAACCUGGGAAUUGCGAUGGAGACUGCAAGGCUAGAAUCUGGCAGAGGGGGGUAGAAUUCCACGUGUAGCAGUGAAAUGCGUAGAGAUGUGGAGGAACACCGAUGGCGAAGGCAGCCCCCUGGGUCAAGAUUGACGCUCAUGCACGAAAGCGUGGGGAGCAAACAGGAUUAGAUACCCUGGUAGUCCACGCCCUAAACGAUGUCUACUAGUUGUCGGGUUUUAAUUAACUUGGUAACGCAGCUAACGCGUGAAGUAGACCGCCUGGGGAGUACGGUCGCAAGAUUAAAACUCAAAGGAAUUGACGGGGACCCGCACAAGCGGUGGAUGAUGUGGAUUAAUUCGAUGCAACGCGAAAAACCUUACCUACCCUUGACAUGUCAGGAAGACCGGAGAGAUCUGGUUGUGCCCGACAGGGAACCUGAACACAGGUGCUGCAUGGCUGACGUCAGCUCGUGUCGUGAGAUGUUGGGUUAAGUCCCGCAACGAGCGCAACCCUUGUCAUUAGUUGCUACGCAAGAGCACUCUAAUGAGACUGCCGGUGACAAACCGGAGGAAGGUGGGGAUGACGUCAAGUCCUCAUGGCCCUUAUGGGUAGGGCUUCACACGUCAUACAAUGGUACAUACAGAGGGCCGCCAACCCGCGAGGGGGAGCUAAUCCCAGAAAGUGUAUCGUAGUCCGGAUCGUAGUCUGCAACUCGACUACGUGAAGUUGGAAUCGCUAGUAAUCGCGGAUCAGCAUGCCGCGGUGAAUACGUUCCCGGGUCU